AGGCGGGGCGAUUGAGCCAAAGCCAAUAAGCCAAUAGGCUCGCUCGGGGCGAUCCUCACAGAACCUGUGAGGCGGCAAAGAAGCGGCGUGGGUUGGGCCACUUGUCAAAGACAACGUCGUCGCAUCAAAACCGUCUUUCUCCUUCCCCCUUGUCAUAAAUAAUAUAUAUACCCUCAGAUCCCCUUUGUCCAUUACUGAUCUCAAAACCCUUCUUGUAGGCAAAGUAAGAAAUCCUUCCCUUCCCUUCCUUCCACCACCACCACCGCCAUCAUCAUCAUCGUCAUGGGUUUGGGUGGAUUUUGUUUCGUGACUAUGGCCUUUUGGUUUUUGGCCGCCAUGAACACUCGGAGGAACGAUCUAGAAACUUCUCCAAGGUCCCGCCCCACUUUAUUGGGUUUCCUCUACAUCAUCGUACUUUUUUUUGGCUCUCCGAGGUUAUCGAAGAUCUAGAAACUUGUCCAAGGUCUAUACAUACUUGAAUAUAUAUAUAUAUAUAUAUAUAUAUAUCUCACGAGCUUAUUUUCAUACUUCUUUUUUUUUCUGAUUUUCUUUGAUUAUUACUAAUCUCUUUGUAUAAUAUAUAUACAUACACAAAUACUUACACACGUAUCCAUACCAUACUUAUUAUAUAUCAUAUAAGGUAUGCUCGUGCUCUUUCAUGAAUUUCCUUUUUAUCUCGCACAGAUAUGUAUAAAUCAAUGAGCUUAUUAUUUUCUAUUUUCUGAUUUUAUUGGAUUAUUGCGUACGUACUAAUCUCAUACCAUGUAUUUAUACAUGUAUACAUCUGUAUAUUCACUUUGAUCGAUUUGAUUACAAAUUUUUUUUUUGUGGGGUUGGGGUUAAUGAUAUGAUGAUUACAAGUUAGAACAUUGGAUUGGAGACAUGCUUUUGAUUUAACAUUAGAUUUGUCAUCUGGCCGUUCUUUAAAGAUUGAUUGUUCGCCUAUAUCGCUUGAUCCGAGCUUCCGAGAAUCGAUCUCGUCUGAUCAGACUGCCAAACUCGUAAUUUGGUGGAAUGGGAACCAAUCGGAAUGAAUCAGUUUGCAGUGCUACUGGGUUCCUGCUGCCUUGCAAAAGAAUUUGCUCCUCACACUUGCACAGACAACAUCGAGUUUCAUAUAAUACGAGCUUAGCUCUGUCUGCGAUCUUCUCGAGCGAGCUGCUUGACCAGUGGCUGCCCUCCGCACAUAAGAAGACUAUGCAUCGGAUUCAAAAUGAACGUAAUAGAGAAAAGAACAGAAGACUCCUGCAUAGCAUUAACAUAUUGCACGUGGUCCACAUUUUGUUUAUGAUACAGACCGGAUCAAAUCAACUUUGAGGAUCUUGAGAGGACGCAUUCACGUGAGUCGGCCGUUCAUGGCAGCUCAUGGGCUGCUUCACCGCUGCAACUGCGUAUCCGGGAGCACCACAGCCAUCCGAAGGAAUGGUCUAGAAACUUCUCCAAGGUGUGCUUAUCAUCAUCCUCAUUAAAUUUCCUCUCUAUCAUGCAUGAAUCCAUAUGCUGACGAGCUUAUUCUCUCUUUGCUGGUUUGAUCACUGAAUAUACUGAAUGUCACGAUGUAUAUAUGAAAUGUAUGUGUGUAUAUAUAUAUACACACACUAGAGUUUGUGUCCGCGAUACGUGCGGUGCUAAAUGUACUUUUUAGAUUAUUUUGAUAGUUUGCAAUUUUGGGAUAACAACAUAUUCCAUUGGUAAUGAUAUAUAAACAAAAAUUUCUACAAUUUGAUAAAACGUUGUAUGAGAAGAAUUUUUUUUUUUAAAAAAAAGAAAAAAGUAGGGGUCUUCAUAUGAGAGACCAUGAGAGUUAGAGGGACGAGGGCUGUGAGAGUUAAGAGGGGUCUUCAUAAAAGCCGAGUUAUUUCACGCAUUUUAAGCGUUUAUUUUUUCACUCAGUCUUGGUCAUUUUAUGUUAAGAGAUUUUUUAGGCGUCGCCAUGUCUCGUCUCUAUUUUGUUUAAUUUUCACCGGGCACUAGCCUCGUUACUCCAAAAAAAAAGAGAAAAAAGAAAACAUAUAAUAAUUUCAAUUUAGUGAUUCAUAAAAAUAAAUUUUAUAUGACAUUUUUUUUUUGACAAUUGAUAAGGGUAAUAUUGAGGACCUGAAUACGAGACGAGAAGAGGAUCUUUGGUUUUAAUAAUAUACAUAUCCACUUGAUUAAUCUGAUUACAAGUCAAACAUCUGCAUUCAAGGUGUGCUUUUGAUUUGCGUCCUGCUGAAAUUUUGAGACUGCAAUCCAAUUUUUCACCCAUCUGUUUUAAAGGCUGUUCACCUAUGCUGCUCGAUUUUAGUUUCGAGGAUUGGGAUCUCGUUUGAUCAGUCCGUAAAGCUCCUUAUUCAGUGGAGCCGAGACGAGUCUCAACAGCAUAAAGAUUUGCUCAUUAUUAAGCGAACGCUGCCCCCCCCCCCCCCCCCCCCCCCCCCCCAUAGACACUGUUAUUUAGAUGCAAGCUGUGUCUGUUCUUGGUCGAUCGAGAAAAUUAACUAGAGACAGUGACGGAUGCUCGAGAUGAAAAGAACACGUAUCAGAAUUGAAAUGAAUGUAUCAAAGAAAAGAAUAUAGGCACAGAUGCAGAUCAGGUCCUGCAUAGCAUUGACAUAUUACGAACUGGCCGAGGAGGCCAAUUGAUCUUCCAGACCAAGUUAUCAGCUUCACUGUUCAGCCAAGAUCCAUAGAAUACAUACACACUAGACCGUGACCACGAAUACCAAAAUACAUUUAAGGACUCUGCUCCGCCAGUGUAUGAGGUUCACUACUAUACGUUUAUCUCUCUUUAUUUUGAACUGAUAUCAUUAUGCAGCCUUCCAUACAUGUUUUGUGGAAGUUAUCAUUUGCAGUAGGUCAUUAAUCCCCGGAAAGGCCUCAGAGGAAAAUGAGCAUGGGUUUUUCCGGAGAAGUUGCACGGCUAUCCCUCUGAUCAGCUUCGGGAAUGAACUGAAGCUCCAAGCUGGCUCCAGUAGGAUGGCAUUGGUCUUCUUGGCAUUUCUCGUUCAGAGCUGCUGCAUCAAUCUGCAAAGAAAAGGAGGCUUGAUCGAUGUGCUAAGGUGGAGGUAAAGGUAAAAUGGCCGAUUCCAGUAUUUCGCUUCUCUGUUUCACCUUCAUCUGCAAGGCCUCAUUUUCGACCCUCAGCUGCUUCUCCUGUACAUAAUGGAAACGGGCAGGCACUGGUUAGAUCACAUGAAUGAAUGAUCUCGGAGCAGUGUGCAGUACUAAGAUCAUUUUUGCAGAUACAGUCUAGAGGACCCGCCCUUGGAGAUCAAUUCCACACCAGCAGGUGUGAUCAAUUCUGCAUUGCAUGAGAUCAAACUCAUUUGGAACAAUACCGUCUUUCAGUACUCCAAAUCUCAAAUCUCUUGGUUUAAAGCUCGAGGGAGUUCAAAAUAUAUGCAAUAUCAUGUAAUAGCCCUAUUUUCACCACCAAAAGCUCUCAAAGUUUAGUUUGGUCUCUGUCAGGUAACCCAUCACACAUCAAGUCUAUCACUCAGAUUCAUCUUCCUAUCAAUCUCCUGUUGCUCAAAUUUCCCGGUAUCAAUUAUUUCCAAUCACAUGGCCCUUCCAAUCGGCUAUGGCCAUCCCUCAGUUCCCUCCAGUCAUGGUAAAAUGCCUUACUCUCUUUCCUUCCUCUCCCCUCCCCUCCCCUCCGGAACUAAUCAGGUAUAAGCAGUUUAUAUUAACCAGCAGUCACAAGUACCAAACCCUGCAUUGUACUACUAAAAAAACCAAACAUCCAUCAAAGCCAUCUACCAGAAAUACCAAACUAGUGCAAGCAUGCAGUUUUAUUCUAAUGUUGUAGAAAGCACGUAGGAAAAGCAAGAUUAUAUCAAGUUGGUGAGGCCGCCUGUGCAAUUUCGUGAGACGGAGGAGUAGUGUUUCUUGGCAAAAUAUUUUCCACUUACAGUGUUUAUAAGUGUUCCCAGAGAACCUAUUUUUCAGGAAGAUGCUUCAAAUGAAGCCAGACAACCUUGUAAACAGAAUGUCCAUGUGAAAGCUCAACUCAAUGUCAGGUGAAUUAUAUAUUUACGCAAUUGUACAACACAUCAGAGCUCAUCAGAGUAGGAAAUAAAGAACACACCUGUUUGUGGAAA